rnacentral:rRNA from 1 species
GAACGCUGGCGGCAGGCCUAACACAUGCAAGUCGAGCGGUAGAGAGGUGCUUGCAUCUCUUGAGAGCGGCGGACGGGUGAGUAAUGCCUAGGAAUCUGCCUGGUGGUGGGGGAUAACGUUCGGAAACGGACGCUAAUACCGCAUACGUCCUACGGGAGAAAGCGGGGGAUCUUCGGACCUCGCGCCAUUAGAUGAGCCUAGGUCGGAUUAGCUAGUUGGUGAGGUAAUGGCUCACCAAGGCGACGAUCCGUAACUGGUCUGAGAGGAUGAUCAGUCACACUGGAACUGAGACACGGUCCAGACUCCUACGGGAGGCAGCAGUGGGGAAUAUUGGACAAUGGGCGAAAGCCUGAUCCAGCCAUGCCGCGUGUGUGAAGAAGGUCUUCGGAUUGUAAAGCACUUUAAGUUGGGAGGAAGGGUAGUAACCUAAUACGUUGCCACUUUGACGUUACCGACAGAAUAAGCACCGGCUAACUUCGUG